UAAGGGAACUAUACAGCAAGUGCUCCACCUGAUCCCAUACCGAACUCAGUAGUGAAAUCUUGCGUGGCCCAUGAUAGUUGGUAUUAACCAGCGAAAGUAGGUAGUUCCCCUAU
rnacentral:rRNA from 3 species